CGAUGAAUCAAGCUGUGAAUGCUGGCCCAGCUGUGCUUAAAGUUCUGAGCCCUGCAGCACAGUGGAGCUGGCCUCUCCCCGAUCCGGAAGGCGACAGGGGUCCCAGGCAGUGGAGAGCCUGCGUUGUCUCAUCACUCCCUCAGUAGGAUUGAGGGGGUGACCUGGUUGCACCACACUGCUUCUCUCCGUGGCUGGCUGACUGCUUUUCUUCCCGUCGCUAACUAGCUGUUCAACUCAUGGUGACCCAGUGGCUAGGGAGCAGAAGUCUGUGAUGAUGCAUCAGAACAAAGUCAGUUCCUGAAAAACUUGGGGCAGAAGCAGCAAAUUAUAGGUGUAGCUGAGACCUUUGCUAGACGGCGCCCCACCCUCUCCCUGGAUUCCACCAAGAGUCUCCAUGCCUGGAUACUGAGAGGCCUUGAUGAGAUGCUCCACGACAAGCCCUCCGAAGAACAACUGGCAGACAGCACAUGCUCAGGAUGAGCUGUUAUUUUUAUCUGCCUCCUGCCUGUGACCUUGCUGCCCAUGAAUGCUUGCCAAAGAUGGGUUGCACGGAAUGGGAGUGGCCACUAGCAUGUUUUCCCUGACCCAGAUCUGAACCCUCUUUCUGUAUUUGGAAGACUUCCCACUCUUGGUGGAAGGCAGAGCCUGUCCACUAUUACAGAAGCUAAAAACCCCAGCUUGUCACUUUCCUAUCCUCCCUUGCAGCUCAGACACAGACCCAUGAGCUGAGGUCUGCCUUUGAGGUGGGCCAGAGGCACAUUAGCAAGACUCCAGGAACACCAUUCUGGUGGUGGGCAGGGGCCACAGGGCAGUUACAUGAGUGUCUAGGGUGGUGCGGGCAGUAGGCAAGGACACACAGUUCUCUGGCCUGGGGGCAGAGCGCUGGGUGACCUCUUGUGCUCUGUGGCAAUGCGCUCCCCAGACGGGUUUGGUGGCAUGGUGGCUUGGCCUAUAGUCUGUGUUUUCUAGUCCUUCCCAGAGAUUCUGUGAUGCCAGUGUCCAUUCAGUAGAUCCUAUUUCUGCUCAGUCAGUGUGUAUCUCUGCUGCCUGUAGGUAGGAUCCUGACAGUACCUAGAGGAAGGUGGAGUUUCUGUUGGACCUGCUGCCGGGCUGAGACACUGGUAAGGUCCUGGGCCAGGCCCAAGGUACUAACCUGCUGCUCAGGGAAGUGGAGCCACCACUCACGUCACUGUGUGCAACCUCCCAUCAGCGGACACCCCAGGUCUUGGCCUCUAGCACUCCUGGAAGAAGACCUGAUGGGGGGCUGCUCCAAAGCACUGGCCACAGACUCCAAGGGAGUCAGGUGCAAGUCCCAACAGAGAGGAGGGUGCUUCUGAUUUAAAAUGCCCCAUAAUCAGGAAGGGGGCUGGUCAUUCUCACUUGCAGACAAAAAGGCUUCAGCAAAAGUCAACUCACCCAGAAAUGGGAUUCCCAGUCAAACUCCAGGCAGAGCCACAUGGCCAACGAUAGUAAUUAGAGCAUUUUACAUUAUGCUGAACUCUAGAUUCUCACCUCUUUAUCUCAUUUUUGCUCAUUCUACAGAGGGGGAAACACUGGCUCAGAGCUUACACUGGCUUUCCUAAGGUCCCCCAACAAUGAGUGGUAGAGACUUCCAGGGCAGGUAUUAUAAUAGCAAAGAUGAAAGGGACCUUUGGGGAAACUGAGACCCAGGAGGGGGUGGUCAAGAGAAUCCAUCAUGGGGAAGCAUAUUUGAACUUGUACUAGAAACAAACAAAAAACUUUCUUAUGACCUUAGGAUAGAGUGCCCUGCCAUGGGAGAGAGUGAGCUCCCUGUUAGUGGAGGUGUGCAAGAAGAGGUAGGGACCACUAGGUGAGUAUGUGCAGAGAAGCAAGGACCCCUACACUGACUAGGGGGUGCUGCCAUCUCCUGGGACAUGUGGUUCACUAUAAAUGGGGGUUUCUGAAAUGAUGCAGGUUCUUUCAUGAUCUUUCUCUGCUUUGAGUCAGUUCAGCCCAAGAGGGUUAAGACGUGCACAGAGGGUGGCUCUGAUGUCACAGGCCACGUGGAAGGUCCUGAGCUGUCUCCAAAGGCAGGGCAGAGACCCCAGGGUCGUAAGGAGUCUGUCUCCCUACACACAUACACUCAUGUGCACAGAUGGAGAAACUGAGGCCCUGAGAGGGGAAGUGAAGGAUCCCAAGCUAGACAGAAGUGGAGGCAGGGUGAGACACCAAGCCUUUGGCAUUCAGUCUAGAGUAUGAGUUCACAUUGUGGGGUCCCUGAUCAGCACCCUCAGCAUCCCCUUGUUGAAAAGACAAAUUCUUAGGCCUCACUGACUCCAGAACCCUGGGAGUGAGCCAUAGUCUGGGUUUCAUUAAGCGUUACAGGGGAUUUAGCAUUUAACUUGUUUAUUUUUAAUUGGAGGAUAAUUGCUUUACA